AGUGAACGCUGGCGGUAGGCCUAACACAUGCAAGUCGAGCGGCAGCACAGGAGAGCUUGCUCUCUGGGUGGCGAGUGGCGGACGGGUGAGGAAUACAUCGGAAUCUACUCUGUCGUGGGGGAUAACGUAGGGAAACUUACGCUAAUACCGCAUACGACCUACGGGUGAAAGCAGGGGACCUUCGGGCCUUGCGCGAUUGAAUGAGCCGAUGUCGGAUUAGCUAGUUGGCGGGGUAAAGGCCCACCAAGGCGACGAUCCGUAGCUGGUCUGAGAGGAGGAUCAGCCGCACUGGAACUGGGACACGGUCCAGACUCCUACGGGAGGCAGCAGUGGGGAAUAUUGGACAAUGGGCGCAAGCCUGAUCCAGCCAUACCGCGUGGGUGGAGAAGGCCUUCGGGUUGUAAAGCCCUUUUGUUGGGAAAGAAAUCCAGCUGGCUAAUACCCGGUUGGGAUGACGGUACCCAAAGAAUAAGCACCGGCUAACUUCGUGCCAGCAGCCGCGGUAA
rnacentral:rRNA from 1 species